AUGCACGCUGGCGGCGUGCCUAAUACAUGCAAGUCGCGCGCACGGACGAGAAGCUUGCUUUUCUGAUGUUAGCGGCGGACGGGUGAGUAACACGUGGAUAACCUACCUAUAAGACUGGGAUAACUUCGGGAAACCGGAGCUAAUACCGGAUAAUAUUUUGAACCGCAUGGUUCAAAAGUGAAAGACGGUCUUGCUGUCACUUAUAGAUGGAUCCGCGCUGCAUUAGCUAGUUGGUAAGGUAACGGCUUACCAAGGCAACGAUGCAUAGCCGACCUGAGAGGGUGAUCGGCCACACUGGAACUGAGACACGGUCCAGACUCCUACGGGAGGCAGCAGUAGGGAAUCUUCCGCAAUGGGCGAAAGCCUGACGGAGCAACGCCGCGUGAGUGAUGAAGGUCUUCGGAUCGUAAAACUCUGUUAUUAGGGAAGAACAUAUGUGUAAGUAACUGUGCACAUCUUGACGGUACCUAAUCAGAAAGCCACGGCUAACUACGUG
rnacentral:rRNA from 1 species